AAAAAAAAAACGUUUGGAAUUCGAGGACGAAGUUCGAAGAUCGCAUCUGAUGAAAUUGACGUACAUAAAAAGCACAGUUUAUAAGCAUUAUUUAGAUGCUCUUCUAUCUUCUUAGGAUCACUUACCACUUAGCAUAGCAUAGAUAUUUUUCGCGUCUCACAUCUCUCAUCAGCUGCUGGCCAAUGUUUCGUAUAUUUUGACUCAGGCAGAGAGAAGAUGAUUGUCCCCUUUUUUGUUAUUACAUGGUUGGGGCCAAACUUUCAUCGCGACCUUUCUAAUCUCUUCUGAUCGGCACUCACAAAUCGCGUGGAUUGCGCGUUAACCGACAUCCCUAUAGUUCGCACGCCCACUUCGACAUACAGCCUCAUUUGAGUGCCAUUCUUGGCCAUCUAGGGGGCCAUUGGGUUGAGAUAUAACACGAUGUUAAACUCAUUAUCGCUUUCUUCUCAAUAAAAGCGAUGAGAUAUUUUCCUUGGCAAUGGGAUGUUUCUCCUGCACAGGUUCGUCGAUUGUCUCCUGCAGAAACGUCAUCGCCACGUAUAAGCGUACUACGAAGAUCUAAAGCUCGAAUCUGCGCUACCCUGAAGUUCGAAUUCCGAGCCAACAUCGUGUCGCUCGUCAUCUUGUAGUAUGAGUUCCAUUUGCGGCUUUACACUUUUACCGCAAGGCACUGUUUCAUGGAUAUGCCUGAACGUUGCUCUGGAAAGAUUCGUCUAUUCCACGUCGUCCUGGAGGACAGCUAUCAGCUCAGCACCUAGCAUCUUGUAACAAACCUUCGCCAUUUUUGAUGGACUCUUCUACACCAACACCGCACGUUAAAACUUUUAUACUACAGUAGAACAUCGUUUGAUGUUCUAUUGACAUACACACUAUCAGCUAUUAUACACUCAUUGUAACACACUUCACAAAUCCAUAUCACACCAUUGCAAUCUACUUAGCAAGAGUUCAGGCCAUACCGUUCACAUAAAAACAAUUGUAUUACACUUCACGAAAACAAUCGACACGUUAAACAUACGCAAAGCAAGCGCUACAGCAGCCCAUUAGGUGAAUCGGGAGCACAUAGUCCACAAGUAUUUAAUACUAAUUUUAAUUUAAUACUAAAUUUAUUUUUUAUACUUUUUGUGUUCUUUAGUACUAUUACUUAU